AUUUCCUCUUUGUUGGUGGAAACGUGGCACGGUUUUAUUGGGGUUUGGUCUCAAGUUGACGUGGAUAAAUAUCCGCUCUUGAUAACUCUACACGUUUGUUUGGCUGCCUUCAAUUUUCUAGUAUUUAACGGGGAGAUCCUCCCAAUUCCUAGUUCGUGCCUUUUUUGCCUUCCCUUUUUUCUUUUUUCUUUUUUAAUGCUAAAGCCAAUCUAAACUAUAAUAAAAAGAAUGUCCCCGUUACUCGACGAACUCCUCGUGAUUCAUGAAUUAUGAUCGCCAAUCGUUGAUUCAUCAUGCCGUCAACCAUAUGUUCUUGUCGCCUUCUGGAAUGAUGUAAUUUGAUUUAGAAGCAAGUGAUACAUCUUUCUUAUUCACAACAACCGUCCAUGUGACCUACCUACCUUGUUUACGAUGCGUGAAGUUGUUGGCAUGAACCUGCCAAUUCAUGCAUAUGAUAGCCACGCACUCCCAUGAGCUUUUGCAUAUUUAUUUGAGUUCGGAAGAAGAAGCUUUAAGCAAC